GGCAGAAACCCAGAGGAGAGUUAAUGUCUAGUGUGGCACUGGCAGCAGUGAGCAUGCCCAGGGCAGGGCCCCAGCACUGCCAAGGGUGCGGGACACGGUGCUUCCCCAGGAGGGAGAUCAUCCCCAGACACAUCCUGGCAGUGUCAGUAUUUUGCCUUUCUGGCUGGGCCGUGGUCACAUAAACUGAAUUCUGUUCCCUCUGAAAGCUCCUCAGAGUUGCUGGGCUGUAUCAACAGUGGAGCUACAAAGGAUCUGCUAAAUUAACUGCAGCAAUGAAGAAAAGGAAAUGAGAUCCCAUGUUUGGUGCCCAGUGAUAAAUCAAUGCACCACAACAAGCUUGUGCUGCCAUCAGCAGUGGCACUAAAACCCCUUCACACUCGGGUUAAGAAGAUUCUUUCCCAGAUGGGCAUCCUCACAAACCAGACCCUCCUUUCUAUCUGCUGCGUGUUCAGAAAUUCCCUACUGUCACCACAGAAUGUGUAUGUUUCUUUAAUCAUCUCUCGUUAUCCCAGGCUUGGCAGGGAAGCAGACCAAAGCUGUGCAUCCUAAGAUAGGAAUUCAACAGGCAGCAUUUUUUCCUGCUAGUCUGGGUUCUCCUAGGUGACUGGAAAAUCUGUAUUUGGCUUUCCUGACUAUUUUCUCUGGGUUUCCAAACGACAGACACAACAGUCUCUCAUGGGUGCCAGGCCUGCAGAACGUGUUCCUGUCCCCAUGCUGUUCCAGAGCUGCCCCUGGUGCAGGGCAUGCCAGUGUCUGGUGCUUCAGCAGAGCCCACUGGAACCACUGUGAGCCAUGCUCCCAAGGCAGCCCUGCCCAUGGCUCAAGCUGAGGCUCCUUCACACCGUCCCCAUGAGCGCAGUGCAGCCCCAAGCAGGAAGACGCUGGCAGGAUGAUCCUUAACACCACAGGAGGUGGGCUUGGGGCAUCACAGAACCAUCUGAGUUAGAAAGGGUGCUCAGCCCCAGCCUCACCUCACUGGAGCAGAGCAGCAGCAGGGCUCAGGUAUGGUGUGGGAACUGGGUGAUGUGGCCACCAGAAGCUGAUGCUGCACUCAUGGCACACAGCUGCUGGUGGAAGGCCGGAUGGACUGGGUGUGUGCCAAAGAACAGUGACUGUCGGCAGCAGAAGGGAGGCAAAAGAUGCCAAGUGGGUGCUCUGCUGACGGCCUCAACUAAAUGGUGUGAGAGUGCAGGGCACUGCGGUGUGUGACACAGAAGUAAACCCAUUAACACACGGUGCAGUCCUGCUGCCAUCCGCGCUCCCAUAGCUCACCAACUAUGACUCCCAUACACCCACCUGAAAUUCCCAAGCCGUGAGGACAUCCCUUCCGCUCCCAUUUCUGAAUACUGAAGAACUUUCAUUUAAACAGUAAAGGUUGUUAACAACAGCGAGGGCCGGGGUUACAGUAAAGGGCUCCUUGUCUCCCUGACGUGGUCACAGACACGUGGGAUGCCUCUUGCUACAAGAGCUGCUUUUCAGGAAGCUGCUGGGAGGCGGCCCAGCGUGGGUCCCUGCUCGGAUGCCUUGCUGGAGCUGAUGCACGAGCAGGACAGGACAUCCCCGGCCAUUGGGAACUCCAGCCCCUCCUCCCCAAGCGUGAGGGGCUUGGGCAGGGACCAGGCUUGGCACACUGCUGCUGUGGGGAUGGUGCCCAUAUGGAUCCUUACACAGGACUGAGCUGCUGGGGAUACUGGCAGCCCUGAGCAGGGCAGGAUUCAAGGGAUUUGUAUUUCCAAGAUGUGUGGCAGAAGCAAAGUGUUCCUUCCUGCUGAUCUGUAGCAUGGCUUCUGUUUAGGUAAUCACAGGAGAGGGAGCAGGACCUUGUACUGAUCCCCUUCUCACCACAAUUACCGGGGUCUAGACAGGAAACUCAGCGUCUCUGAUGCUCUUUCCCGGGGAGUAGCAGUGCUGUGAGCCAGCGGGGCUGACACAUCCCCACCCAUCCAGGCUGCCGUGUGGGGCUGGCAGCACAGCUCUGAAGUCAUCCUUGAGUCUGUUCCAGCCUGGCCGGCCCUGCUGGGCUGCCAAUAGCCGCUAGCUGUACAAGGAAUGCCCUCUGCGGCCUCCCAGACUCCACCUCUGCAAUUCCUGCACCUGAUCCUGCCUGGCGUUAAAGGAAUUCUGAAACUGCAGGCUUGGAGGCACUAAAUGCAUUGGCUUUUUGGGAGCACUUUCUCCAGCUCUGUUCUCUGUCAGCUACUCUCUGCUCUCAAAGGUUCAGAACUCUGCCCUGCUGCUGUGAUCACCAUUUCCAGCAUCUCCCACGCAGGGAGGAAUGACCUGAGGCUGCAGCCCUGGUGGUGCAGAAGAAGCCUUUGCUGCAGGAGGAGCAGGAGGCAGCCCAGAAGGCAGCUGAAUGCACGUAGGGACACAACAGGAUUUGCAGCAACAAAUGUCCAAGAGGGCAGCACGCUCAAUAUGCACAUUGAAAUCCAAGCAGCUACCCCACUCCAGAACAGGACAAACUCCUGUUUGUCAUCAAACAUCACAGGCUGUCACCCAUCGGAUCCCAUCUCAGCCACUCCUUGCAGAAACAGCUGCUCCAACCCCUCCUACUCAGCUUCUCCCCUGCACAGGAAGGGCACUGCCACCCACGCUGGAACAUGUGAGACAGCCACUGCUGCCACUGCAGCUAGCAAGGCCCAGGCUAUGUGGAGAGCAGCUGAUAGAAAGUAGAGUUGGAGAAAGCGCUCCCAAAAAGCCAGUGCAGUCAAUGCUUCCAAGCAUGCAGUUUCAUAAUUCCUUUACACUAACCCUGUAGCCAACAAGUUCUCUUCCUCAGCCAGGAAACUGGCAGCAAAGCAAACCACAGAACUGCUGCUAGCCCUGAUAAAAUGUUUUCACUUAAAUCUGCUUUCCCUGCUUGCCACCAAGAAAGAGAGUCAGGACCCACAGCCAAGACCUGCUUUCCAGGCAGCAGAGCACAUCCCUCGUGCUGCUCACAGCUGUUCACAGGGUCAGUCCUCCCUGCACCUCUCAGUACCCCUGCAGUCAUGCCGGGGCUCUCCUGGGCUGCCCCCACUCACACCAACCUUCCAUUUCAUGGGAGCCUUCCCUACCUCCAGGUACUCCUGUGCGUACCCUCCUAGACCCUGCGUGUGGGGCAAGGGGCAGGAAUAGCACAUGCCAACUUGGCAAAAUGCACCCAGUGCCCGGAGCAUCAUAAUGCCCAGCCUUGGUUGGGGGCUGGAGGAGAUGGCAAUUCCAAGGCACCACUCACUGCACCACAGGGUCAGGUCUGUGCCCAGGUGCUUCUGCACACAAUGAAAGCAAUGCCCUGAGUACUUCCAGUUGUCACUACCCUGUGUCACAGCUUGAACUUUGCUCCCUGCUGCAGGUAACCUUCCACAGUCUGCUCCCUGACCAGCUCCAUGCUAUGUGCUCUCAGCAGCUGCUGCAGAAAUUCUGGAUUUAGUGCAAAUACACCUGCAGGCCACAGCCCUGAGGAACAGCAGUUAGGUUAGCAGACAUAGGCAGUGACCUCCUGACACUGCAUAAACCUCCCACCUCCACUGCUAUUGCAUCACGCUGUGAACAGCAGCCAGGCUUUGUCCACGAUGACACAUCCAGACUGUGCAUUCCUGUCAGAUUAAGGAGCCAGCAUCCACAGAUUCCACAGCAAGAAAAAAAAACAUUCAUCAGCUCCUUGUGGAUCAGAUUCAGAUGAUCAAAGCACUAUACUCACACAGCAUCAUAAUCGGGGCACCACUGCCUUCAGAGCGCUGCCCAGGGCUGGCAGCUCCAUGCAGGGGUUUGGGGCCAGGACACUCAGCUCCAACAGCCAGCACAGCAGUGCUGUGCUCAGCAAGAAACCAAAGGACAGCAGCUAAUACUUAUUCAGGCUGCAUUAUGCCUAGACCUCACAGGUGCUGCCCUUUUUCAGACAGCGGCUUAUCAUUCAAUUCCUGCUUCUUUCACUUUUUAAGUUUUACUUCUGUCUCCUUACCUCAGCUUGUAAAUCUGUGGCCUGCAAGCAGAAGUAUGAGGUGCCUAAACUCAAAUAAAAACAUCUCCCGGCAAACGGAAGGAUCCAGCAAUGGAACAAUAUUGGACAAUCCAAAGCACAGAGCAGUGGCUGAGCUGCCACGCGGUGAGAUCUGGACAGGCUGAGAGUUGGGCAGGGAGGAAAAUUAUGAGGUUCAACAAUGGCAAGUAUGGCCCUACACCUGGGGGGGAAUAACUGCACAUAUCAGUACAGGUUGGGGGCUGAGCUGUUGCAGAGGAGCUCUGCAGAGAAGGAGCUGGUAUCCUGGGGUAUUGAUCUUGUGACCAAGAAGGCCAGUGGUAGCCUGGGGCAUAUGAAAAAGAGUGCAGCCGGCAGGACAGGUUCCUCCUCAUCUACUCUGUCCUGGGAAGGCCACAUCUGGAGCACCAUGUCCAGUUCUGGGCUCUCCAGUUGAAAAGAGACAGGGAGCUGCUGGAGAAAGCCCAGGUUCUCAACAAGAAGAGGAGACUGAGGGGGGAAUCAUAUCAGAACUUAUAAAUAUCUAAAUGGUGGGGCCAGGUUCUCUCCAGUAGUGCCCAGCAUCAGGACAAGGGGAAAUGGGCUCAAACUGAAAGACAGAAGCUACAUCUGAACAGGAGAAAGGACUCCUUGAAAGUGACAGAGCACCGGGACAGACUGCCCAGAGCGGCAGUGGAGUCUCCUUCUCUGGAGAUACUCAGAACCCACUGGAUACUUUCCUGUAUAACCCGCUGUGAGCAGCCUGCUUUAGGAGGUGGGGGGGGUCUGGUCAGGAGAUAAGUUCCAGGGGCCUUUUCCAACACAUAUGGUUCUGUGAAUGUGCAUUCUCACAUAUGUAUUUAUUUCUUUUACACUCCUUUCCUACAACUCCAGUGUGUGAGGAUGACACACACUCAGGUCCCUCCAGGAGUCCUCCCUGGAACAGCCCUCCCACACACAGAAGACUGCUGCAGAAGAAUGCCCUGGAGUCUUCAGUUAUGAUGCAGUGCUUCAAAUAGGUGCCCUGAUAUAACUCAUCUUGUGACAGUCUCAAUAAACUCGCUAGCUUAGUUUCUCUAUCCCCCAAAGUUAAAUCAGGUCAUUUUUGGCAUUCCUUGCAGGCUCUGUGUGCACUCUCUUUGGGAAAGUGAUAGGCAGAUCCCAUGAUAGAGCAGAGAAUGCACCCUCGGCUGCAGAGCCCUUCUCCAGAGGAACGUGGGCUGUGCCAUGGGGCUGGGCCACAGCACAGAGCUCUCCUGCACAGGGUCUCACUGUGCCCAAGAGAUGCACUGUGCUCACUGAGUUUUCCACAUAAAACUCCAUGGUAAGGAGGAUCUCCUGAACAGCACUCAGCCAUUCUGCAACAGGAGACAAAAGCAGCUCACGAGCAGCACAGAGGGGAGCCCCACAACUCCCCAGCCUCACCCUGCAGCAUGGUGUGGCACACUGACACCGUGAAUGACACAGCAAUUACCAAAUAUUUAGACGCACUUCAGACUUUCCAAGCAGCAGGGUUAUUGCGCUCAGGAAGUUGCCUGUAGUUUGCUUAAGAGUGAACUGCAAUAGGAAGGGAUCACAGCUGGCUCCUGACGACAGCCACUGACAGCAGCACGAUGAUGCCACCCACCAAGGAGGAGAAGCGAUGAUUCAGGUCCUUGGGUUUUCCCUCACUUACUCUUUCCACAAGGCAAUGGGGACACUCAAUCACUCUCAAGCCAUCUAGUCUGUCCCAGCUGGGAAGGAGAUGUAGCAUCAUAGAACCAUUUGAGUGGGAAGGGACCCCCAAAGGCCAUCCAGCCAAGCAUCGUUCUGCAACAGAGCCCAGGCACACCACACAUAAGUGUCAUGUCAGACACAUGGCAGCAUGUCAAUCAGAGGUGGAGACAGGUGCUUUCCAUGACCAGGAAGUGACAGAUCGUUCCAGUGAACUCGUGCACCCUACCCCAGUGGUGUCUACCAGGGAAAGCUGAUGGGAAACGUUUCAGUAGGUGGCAGCAGAAAUAUAUCUGCUGUGCAGACUCCUGUUGGGACACUUCUUGGAUAAAUCACCCUUCUAGAGGAGAGUUCUCAGACGCAUGUUGCUCUGGGCUCGAUACCACACUCCUGGCAGCCUCAUGGCAGUAGUCAUGUCAUAUACAGAGAACUGGAAACUCACCCUGGUGCUGAAAUCCCCACAUUCUGCCUGGGAGGAAGCGUGCUCCUUGCAAAACAUGACAGAGACAGAAGAAUGAACCAUGAGACAGACGAACUGACCCAAGAGGCUCAGAAAAAUCAGCUGGAAAACACUUGCUGCCUGCUACUAAAAAUUCAUUGUUAUUUAACGCCUCCAAAUAAAAAUUUCCACUGUUAAAGACUCCACAUUUUCUUUCUGUUCAUCAGUGCUGUAAUGUUUGCCAAUCUUCCAUCUUCAGACCUAACAUUCAAAAAACACAUAUAGAAGACCAUUGAAAUACUAAGCUGGAUGGCAAGCAACACAACAGCAGAACAGCCAAGUCAUCAGGCUGGCCUCCCAGGUUUGCUUGCUGAUUUCACCCAUUAUUCUGCAGGAAGAAAAUGAAUGCUCACAGGCUGCCCUCUACAAUUCAGUGUUCUGGAUAUUUUAAAAGCAAAUCUGGAAUACAACUAGCAAGGUAAGUCCUUCUUAUCAAAUAACAUUCAAAGAAAUCUUCAGCAAUGACAGCAUAAUAGUAUGGAAAUACAGUCAAGGAGAAUUUUUUCAACAGUUAAAAACCAUGCAUCACUGUAAGCUAAGCAAACCUGUACCGCAGAAACAGAGACCAAAUGCACACCACGCUACAAAGCCAAGUGCUUUCACAGGACAUGGACAGUCAAGUCCACCUGCCUCUGAGCUUUCACAGCUCCUGCUACCCAGGGUUUGGCUUUAAUGUGCACCGUCACUGAACUCCAAAUCUCUUGUUUUCUAAAUUCAGAUUUGAUUGAGUUUUUUGUUGUUGUUUUUUAAACAGGAUAGGAAACCGUUGUUUAACUGAAAUUGCAGCCACCGGUUUCCAUUUUUCUGGGGUUUUUGUGGGUUUGUUUUGUUUUUUGUUGUUAUUUGUUUGGUUGGUUUUUAAUUGCACAAGGGCUUUGAAAGAUGCCACUCUAAGAUCUCGGUGUUCUGCAAGCCAGCAUGUAAAAGCCACCCAACCUGCUCAGAAGAAUCAACAGCAUCCAAAGCAGCUCUCAAGCACAUGGCACCAGCAUCCCACAAAGAAGUAGAGGACAACUAAGUUCAGAUGAAUUUUAGGAACCCUCCAUAGUUGCCUCUCGUCCUUCAGAUAUAAAGAACGCACAAGACACAGAUCAGCCCCUUCCCUACUUGGAAAGUCCCCCAGGGGGAUUUAGAAGGAGCCUCUGUGGGUCAUACCAAUGAGGUCAAGGUCUGCCCCAGCACUACAGAGCGUCUGGGACAACACCAUGCUGCCAGGUGACAGGAGCUCGUGCUUGGACAGUUACUGUGAACAGCUUUGUACAGUGCAGAAUCAGAAUGCAUUCCUCGUCUACCACAGCAAAGCCUGCAAUCCGUGUGCAGUGCAAUCUCCAACGACAAAUGAUAUUAUUAACAGGUUUGCUCAGGGCCUGCAAGAUGUUCUUUGAGCAUAAAUGGAGUCCACUCUGUUUGGCUUGAAAUUCAGCCUACUCUGCACCAGCAACACAACAGCCAAAAGAAAAACUACAUGCCACAUUCAUUCCUGAAAUGCAUUGGAAUGGAACUGUGGUUAAUUACAGCAGACUGUAAAUUAAAACUCCUCAGUGCUGCUAUUAGCUGUGCUUAGCAAUCACUUCCUCCUCCUCCUCCUCCUCUCCUUCCUCUCUCUUGUUCCACACCACCUUGUCUUUUCUACGGGAAUUUCUGCUAUGUUUUCUACUUUGGAAUUUUCUCAAAUCCUUCCUCAUUCUUUUCCAGUCUCUCCACUAGUAUCAUCUUGGCUGUCAUACUCAUUCCUAUUCUUCACAACACAGCACACUACAUCUCUCUCUCCAUUCAGCUCCCCAUUUCAGGCAGUGGUUACAUUUCCAGUUCCCAGCACACGCCAUCCUGCAGACAGAACACAAGGAUCUCAUUCAGCCCUGUGAAAGUGCCAACCGCAACCACCCUUCUGUCAGAUGCAAACCCCACAGCCAGGCAGAUGGGAGCUGCUCUUCAGAAUCAUCACCAGCAUCAUCACAUUGAUGCUCCUAUACUGCAUUUGCAUGCUGGAUAAGAGAAAUUUGGAAAGAAAUAUACUGCUCCUGCUGUAGCUGUCAUCAGUGAAAAAAACAAAGCUGCAAGGUGCCCUCAGAAUUUCCUCCCACAAAGUCACCAAGCCCUCAAAAUAAUGAUCACAGGUACUGCCCCACAUCUGUCCAAGGCCACAUUCUCAAAGCUGAAGCUGCAAACCCGAAAGCCAUGGGAGCUUUUUUGCUACUAAAAAAUUACCAGAAAUGCCCUGCUGCUGGAGGGGGCCCUAGGCAGCCUGCUCUGGUGGUUGGCAACCCCAUGCAUAGCACAGGAGUUGGAAACUGAUGGAGGCCCUUCCAACCCAAGCCAUUCUAUGCUCUGUCUCAAAACAGACACAUUUUCUCAGCCUUAUUUGCUCACUCAUUUAAAAGGGAACAGCAAGUAACACCAGAGCAAAUAUGCCCUAUUCCAAAUGCUUACCAGAUUACCCAGUACUUACAUAUACAAAAUUACAAGAGAAAGUGACAGAGGACUGGGGUCCUUGAGGACAGCAAUGCUCAGCCAGCUCUGAGAUGCCAACAAGAACAGCUCUAGAACGCAGCCAAGUAUUUUUGAACCAGCAGCAUCUACGUGGCCUGGCAUCCCAGCGACUGCUGGUUCUUAAAGAGCAAUGUGAGGAACAAAAAUAGAGCAUAAGGGAACUGAAAGAGAAACCUCACUUUAAAUAUUCCCAAUUGAUUCUAUUCUUUUCCUCUGCUAGCUCCACAUCGGGUUUUUUGUUUCCCUAAGGCAGAGCAAGUGAUUUAUAAUACUACAGGGUUAGUUGGUUGCUUCCUUCUGAAGAGAUCUUUUCUUCCAAAUUUGAAUUCCUAGAUCUCAUGUCCCACUUGGUCACUAUUUACAUAGGACUCACUCAUACCCUGGCCAAAAUGGUCAUCAGGCUCCAGUUACACUGUUCACUGAUGCUGUUAACUUCAUCUGCGACAUGUACACACCCACCAAGUGAUGUUCAUACUAUGUAAGUAAUUCCAUAACUCAGUUUGUUUGCACCAAAAUGUACUGUUUACUCAACUUUAAAACACAGUAUUAGAUACUGAAAUAUUCAUCUGUUAAUGAAUGAGGUUAUGGAGAUGUUUGUUCAGCACACACCAGCCUUCACUAUGACAUAGAACAUACUGAAGUUAUUAAAGGUGGAGUAACAGUGAUGUUCAUGGCAAAGGUUUUCCAUUAACAACAUUUCCAAUUACUUGAAAGCAAAAGCUGACUGAGGUCGCAUGUCUGGAACUCCUGGAGGCAGGCACCUGGCCCAAUGACAAGCACUUCUCCCCUUCUGCUCUGCUUGGGUAACAGUUCAGGUGUUUCUGAGGGAGGACAGAAGCUGGCAGUCCAGGUGUGGGGUUUUUGGAGAGGCAUUUUUAGAGGUAGGAAAGUUGCAAUACAAUUUUAAUUAAUGGUAGGUCCAGAAAUCCACUCGUUCCGGCUUCCAGUUCACAGACACGGUGAUUAUAACAUCAGCUUUAAAGUCCCCUUUGGAUUUGGGAAACUCUUUUUUUCUUAACAUAAGUUUAAUGCAGAAAAUUGUCAACUUUGUACAAAGUCAUAGUAAUAUCCUACCAUAUAUGCUGUAUUUCCAGAGGGACCUAAUAUGUACAGCACAGUUGUUUGUACAUAAUACCGUUCUCCUUGAAGCCAAGCAUGUUCAUUAGACUACUCCAAGAGAAAAGUUGGACUAAGCCCAGUCAUGCCCUUAUCUAUUUAAAGACGCUUUUUAAUUCUGAACUUGCACUGCUGUUCAAGCUCUGAGCAUACUCAGAAAGGGAUUAAUGCAUAUUAAGCUCUGCUCAAAGCCAAUGGAAUACAGGCUUCCAAUGAGCUGAUCCCAAGCAAUCUAGCUUGACUGAACAGGAGCCGGCUGUUCACCCAGAAGUCCCCUUUUGCUCUCCCAGGGUGUGCUUCUGUUUCAACAAACGAUCCCUUAUUCUACAACAUGCAGCUUAUAACAGGCACUGAUAAACCCCAGCAAAUUCCAGGUUAGCCACCCUACAUGAGUUAGCCAGUACCAAACAAGACAAGCAAGCAAUAACAAAAAAGGAAAACUAUGAGUAAUUAUAUUCUGUGCUGCCACCCUUCACGUCCAAGGGUUUUGCAUUUUAAGUCUGAUUUUGAAUUUCCCAUUCACCAGAUCACAAUCUUUAAGCAGAGCUCCCACAGCAGCUCACAUGGGUUGAAAUGGUUGCAGCUUUUCCUCUAUUUGCCAUUACUUCAGAACCCCCCCAUCUCACUGGGUCGCCCAAUAUAGCUCAGCGUAACUGCCCCCCUUCCCCAAGCAGCACAUACCUUACAGCAAAACAAACCCUGCAGCUUAUAUUGGGAGUGUUAUACAUGUACACAUUCUAGAAGCAGCCAUUUAUAGUUCACGUGUCAUUUUACCACUGCACCCAGAGCGGUGCACCCAUGCGAGCCCAGCAGCAUGGGGAGGGGGAUUAGCAGCACGGGCAGCAUGCCAAAAGCGGUCUUAUGUAGGCCACAACAAGGGGAACUUUUACUCAGCUGAACACUCGUAAGCCAUAAACCUAUUUACCUUAAGGAGCUAAAGGAAAAGAAGAGCAACACCAGACUGGCUGCCUCUUAGCUGCUGCAGCCUGCCCAGCGCUCACAGUCACCCUGCUGCAGGUCGAUGCUUCUGCCCCGGUCCCUGGGCUGAAUUCACACCCAGACAGCUUUUUCUUUUUUUUUCUUUUUUUUUUUUUUGGUGGGGGGAGGAUGGGAUCUGUCAGUAGCUACAGCGUAUUACAUUACCUCUCACAAAGAUAGUAACACAGCUUGCAAGCAGCAGUUUCUGCAUUGCCAGACACUUAACUAGAUGGUAGAAUUAUACCAUUGUUCAUACUUGGUUCUUUUAAAAAACUGAAAUUGGGAAUAUAUCUGAGUGUGUAUUAAAUAUAGCACAACCCUAAAUAACAAACCAGUACUGUGGUCAGCUUGUAAAGGACUUCAUCCAUUCUUUUCGAAGGCUCAAGAGAGAUAAGUGGAAUUAAAGGGAAAAAAAAAAAAAAAAAA